rnacentral:rRNA from 1 species
AGCUGGAUGGUAAGGUAACGGCUUACCAUGGCUAUGAUGUCUAGGGGUUCUGAGAGGAAGGUCCCCCACACUGGAACUGAGACACGGUCCAGACUCCUACGGGAGGCAGCAGUGAGGAAUAUUGGACAAUGGAUGGAAAUCUGAUCCAGCCAUGCCGCGUGAAGGAAGAAGGUCCUAUGGAUUGUAAACUUCUUUUGUAUGGGAGCAAUAAGGCCUACGAGUAGGUUGAUGAGAGUACCAUACGAAUAAGCACCGGCUAACUCCGUGCCAGCAGCCGCGGUAAUACGGAGGGUGCAAGCGUUAUCCGGAUUUAUUGGGUUUAAAGGGUGCGUAGGCGGUUAUUUAAGUCAGUGGUGAAAGUUUUCGGCUCAACCGGAAAAUUGCCAUUGAUACUGGGUAGCUAGAAUAUGGUUGCUGUGAGUAGAAUGUGUGGUGUAGCGGUGAAAUGCAUAGAUAUCACACAGAAUACCGAUUGCGAAGGCAUCUCACAAAGCCAUCAUUGACGCUGAGGCACGAAAGUGUGGGGAUCAAACAGGAUUAGAUACCCUGGUAGUCCACACUGUAAACGAUGAUAACUAGCUGUUGGCGAUACACAGUCAGUGGCCAA